GAUGAACGCUAGCGGCAGGCUUAACACAUGCAAGUCGAGGGGCAGCACGUCUUCGGAUGGUGGCGACCGGCGCACGGGUGCGUAACGCGUAUAGAACCUACCUUUUACAGGGGAAUAGCCCAGAGAAAUUUGGAUUAAUGCCCCAUAGUAUUAUUGAAUGGCAUCAUUUAAUAAUUAAACAUUUAUGGGUAAAAGAUGGCUAUGCGUUCUAUUAGCUAGUAGGUAAGGUAACGGCUUACCUAGGCAACGAUAGAUAGGGGUCCUGAGAGGGAGAUCCCCCCACACUGGUACUGAGACACGGACCAGACUCCUACGGGAGGCAGCAGUGAGGAAUAUUGGACAAUGGGCGAGAGCCUGAUCCAGCCAUGCCGCGUGCAGGAAGACGGUCCUAUGGAUUGUAAACUGCUUUUAUACAGGAAGAAACACUCGGACGUGUCCGAGCUUGACGGUACUGUAUGAAUAAGCACCGGCUAACUCCGUGCCAGCAGCCGCGGUAA
rnacentral:rRNA from 1 species